rnacentral:rRNA from 1 species
CCCUUAGAUGUCCGGGGCUGCACGCGCGCUACACUGAUGCAUUCAACGAGUCUAAAACCUGCUCUGAUAGGGGUGGGUAAUCUUUUGAAUGUGCAUCGUGAUUGGGAUAGAUGAUUGCAAUUUUUCAUCUUCAACGAGGAAUGCCUAGUAAACGCAAGUCAUCAGCUUGCAUUGAUUACGUCCCUGCCCUUUGUACACACCGCCCGUCGCUCCUACCGAUUGAAUGAUCCGAUGAAUAUCAUGGAUUGAGGAUGCAAGUAGGUUCGCCUAUCUUCAUCUUCGAGAAGUGAAGUAAAUCUUAUCAUUUAGAGGAAGGAGAAGUCGUAACA